rnacentral:rRNA from 1 species
GUGCCAGCAGCCGCGGUAAUACGUAGGUGGCAAGCGUUGUCCGGAUUUAUUGGGCGUAAAGCGUGCGUAGGUGGUUUCUUAAGUCUGAUGUGAAAGCCCACGGCUUAACCGUGGAGGGUCAUUGGAAACUGGGAGACUUGAGUGCAGAAGAGGAAAGUAGAAUUCCAAGUGUAGCGGUGAAAUGCGUAGAGAUUUGGAGGAAUACCAGUGGCGAAGGCGACUUUCUGGACUGCAACUGACGCUGAGGCAUGAAAGCAUGGGGAGCAAACAGGAUUAGAUACCCUGGUAGUCCAUGCCGUAAACGAUGAAUGCUAAGUG